AAUCAACGCUGGCGGCGUGCCUCAGACAUGCAAGUCGAACGCGAAAGUUUCCUUCGGGAAGCAAGUAGAGUGGCGUCCGGGUGAGUAACACGUAGGUAAUCUACCUUUGGGUGGGGAAUAACAACCGGAAACGGUUGCUAAUACCGCAUAAUGCAGCGGCACUCACAUGAUGACAGUUGUUAACGCGGGGGAUCGCAAGACCUCGCGCCUAAAGAGGAGCCUGCGGCGGAUAGCUAGUUGGUAGGGUAACGGCCUACCAAGGACAACGAUCCGUAGCCGGCCUGAGAGGGCGGGUCGGCCACACUGACACUGAAAUACGGGUCAGACUCCUACGGGAGGCA
rnacentral:rRNA from 1 species